AAGUCGUAACAAGGUUUCCGUAGGUGAACCUGCGGAAGGAUCAUUACAAAUCCAUCCACGUCUCAUACCCGAGACCACGUUGAAAUGUUCCCCAGACCCCAGGGUGCGGCCGUUGUUCCCACGCUUUCAAGCGGGCUCCUCGGGGCCUGCCUGCCUGCCUGUGCGGGACGAUGAUGCCGCGCCCCGGCCUGGGCUGUUAAACUAGUGUUACGUUGUUGCUCAAAUGUAUCUUGAUUUCAAUCAAACGAAAACUUGUACAACUUAUAACAAUGGAUCUCUAGGCUCUU
rnacentral:misc_RNA from 1 species